rnacentral:rRNA from 1 species
UACGUAGGUGGCAAGCGUUGUCUGGAUUUACUGGGUGUAAAGGGCGUGUAGCCGGGCUUACAAGUCAGAUGUGAAAUCCGGGGGCUCAACCCCCGAACUGCAUUUGAAACUGUAGGUCUUGAGUAUCGGAGAGGCAGGCGGAAUUCCUAGUGUAGCGGUGAAAUGCGUAGAUAUUAGGAGGAACACCAGUGGCGAAGGCGGCCUGCUGGACGACAACUGACGGUGAGGCGCGAAAGCGUGGGGAGCAAACAGG